UACGUAGGGGGCAAGCGUUGUCCGGAUUUAUUGGGCGUAAAGAGCUCGUAGGCGGUGUGUCGCGUCGGCCGUGAAAACCUGCAGCUUAACUGUGGGCUUGCGGUCGAUACGGGCAUCACUGGAGUUCGGCAGGGGAGACUGGAAUUCCUGGCGUAGCGGUGAAAUGCGCAGAUAUCAGGAGGAACACCGGUGGCGAAGGCGACAUCCUGGACCGGUAUUGACGCUGAGGCGCGAAAGCCAGGGGAGCAAACGGG
rnacentral:rRNA from 1 species